UACGGGGGGGGCAAGCGUUGUUCGGAAUUACUGGGCGUAAAGGGCGCGUAGGCGGCCUGCUAAGUCACACGUGAAAUCCCUCGGCUCAACCGGGGAACUGCGUGUGAUACUGGCGGGCUUGAAUCCGGGAGAGGGAUGCAGAAUUCCAGGUGUAGCGGUGAAAUGCGUAGAUAUCUGGAGGAACACCGGUGGCGAAGGCGGCUUCCUGGACCGACACUGACGCUGAGGCGCGAAAGCUAGGGGAGCAAACGGG
rnacentral:rRNA from 1 species